AUGUCUCAAGAUAAGCCAUGCACGUCUAAGUACAAACUAAAUGAUGGUGAAACCGCAAAUGGCUCAUUACAACGGUUAUGAUGUACCCGGGAGUUCCGAUGGAUAUUUCCAGUAACACUAGAACUAAUACAUGUCCCUGCGUUUAUUAGUUUCGCACAGUCCGUCGCUGAGUCAUGGUAAACAGUUGAUCGACUCGACGUCCCGGAACAGUUUCCGCCCCAUCAGCUUCGAUGGUUGGGUAUUGGCCUACCAUUGCAACAACGGGUAACGAGGAAUUAGGGUUUGAUUUCGGAGAGGGAGCCUGAGAAACGGCUACCACAUCUACGGAUGGCAGCAGGCGCGCAAAUUACCCAAUGCAGACACUGUGAGGUAGUGACGAGAAAUAAUAAAGCGGGACUUCUGUUUCGCUAUUAUAAUGAGGAAUAACCAAAGGUCAUUCCGAUUAGCAACUGAUGGGAAAGUCUGGUGCCAGCAGCCGCGGUAAUACCAGCGUCAGUAGC
rnacentral:rRNA from 1 species